UCUCUGGAAGACUAGUGGUUAGGCCACAGCGCGCUCACCGCUGCGGCGCGGGUUCGAUUCCCAGCCAGCGUG